CCCCGCAGGCGCCGCCUCCCUGGCGCCUGCCUGUCUGGCCUCAGACCCGAAGGGAAUGCGACCUCUUGGUCCUCUCUCAGACUUGAGGCCCCCAGGGGAACGUGCCAUCACAGCGCAAAGUCCUCUAUGCCUUGCCUUUAGAGUCUCCAGCGUCAUUGCUGUGUGAGGUCUGCUACUUCAUGGGAACGUGCUGUUGCAGCG